rnacentral:lncRNA from 1 species
AUAUGUUUAAUGAUUUAUCAAAGAAUUAAAAGAUUACCAAGUACUCUUCAAUGGAUGUUCAUUUGAUUCUAGUAACCCUCUGUGAAGAAUGCAGAUUGAGCUCUUUUAAAAAAGCAUCAGAAAUCAAACUCAAAUGCAAGUGUUUGUCUAUGACCAUCCAAGUGAUAAAAGUGGCUCAUUGUGAAAGACUGAAGCUGACCCCUGAACUUCUCUGGCUUCCUAUCUCUGGUGUGAGUGUUCUGUCUCCUACACCCUGGCACUGUGACACCAUGGACAAUGCAUAUCCCAUUCAAGUGGACCUCACCAGAGGUCAUGUGGAUUGGGUCACCUGAUCUUGGACUCUCAGUCAAAAAAACUGUGAGCUAAAUAAACAUCUCUUUUAGGACACACAAAGCAUCAUGUGUUUUGUCAUAG